GACGAACGCUGGCGGCGUGCUUAACACAUGCAAGUCGAACGGAAAGGCCCUGCUUUUGUGGGGUGCUCGAGUGGCGAACGGGUGAGUAACACGUGAGUAACCUGCCCUUGACUUUGGGAUAACUUCAGGAAACUGGGGCUAAUACCGGAUAGGAGCUCCUGCUGCAUGGUGGGGGUUGGAAAGUUUCGGCGGUUGGGGAUGGACUCGCGGCUUAUCAGCUUGUUGGGGGGGUAGUGGCUUACCAAGGCCUUGACGGGUAGCCGGCCUGAGAGGGUGACCGGCCACAUUGGGACUGAGAUACGGCCCAGACGCCUACGGGAGGCAGCAGUGGGGAAUAUUGCACAAUGGGCGGAAGCCUGAUGCAGCAACGCCGCGUGCGGGAUGACGGCCUUCGGGUUGUAAACCGCUUUCGCCUGUGACGAAGCGUGAGUGACGGUAAUGGGUAAAGAAGCACCGGCUAACUACGUG
rnacentral:rRNA from 1 species